UAACAGUUGCCGGUUAUUGAGUCCUUCGUGUGGGCCGGGGGCAGGGUUAAGCACUUCACACACGCUGCUUGGUUGAAUCUUCAGGACAGUCCUCUGAGAGCCGGCAGGGAAGUCCACACAGAUGGAGCAACUGAGGCUCAGAUUCCACUGACUUGCUCCAGGUCAUGGAGUCAGAAAGUGGCAGAGCUUCUCUACAAGAAUCAAUUGAAAAUCAGAUCAAGCCUGGAGCCGG